GACGUAGGGGACGAGCGUUGUCCGGAUUCAUUGGGCGUAAAGCGCGCGUAGGCGGUUUGGUAAGUCGGAUGUGAAAAACCAGAGGCUCAACCUCUGGCCUGCAUCCGAUACUGCCCCGACUAGAGGUAGGUAGGGGAGAUCGGAAUUCCUGGUGUAGCGGUGAAAUGCGCAGAUAUCAGGAGGAACACCAAUAGCGAAGGCAGCUCGCUGGGGACGGUAUUGACGCUAAGGCGCGAAAAGCGUGGGGGAGCAAACAGG
rnacentral:rRNA from 1 species